rnacentral:rRNA from 1 species
GAUGAACGCUGGCGGCGUGCCUAAUACAUGCAAGUCGAGCGAACGGACGAGAAGCUUGCUUCUCUGAUGUUAGCGGCGGACGGGUGAGUAACACGUGGAUAACCUACCUAUAAGACUGGGAUAACUUCGGGAAACCGUAGCUAAUACCGGAUAAUAUUUUGAACCGCAUGGUUCAAAAGUGAAAGACGGUCUUGCUGUCACUUAUAGAUGGAUCCGCGCUGCAUUAGCUAGUUGGUAAGGUAACGGCUUACCAAGGCAACGAUGCAUAGCCGACCUGAGAGGGUGAUCGGCCACACGGGAACUGAGACACGGUCCAGACUCCUACGGGAGGCAGCAGUAGGGAAUCUUCCGCAAUGGGCGAAAGCCUGACGGAGCAACGCCGCGUGAGUGAUGAAGGUCUUCGGAUCGUAAAACUCUGUUAUUAGGGAAGAACAUAUGUGUAAGUAACUGUGCACAUCGUGACGGUACCUAAUCAGAAAGCCACGGCUAACUACGUG